GGAAAGUUGACGGGGCCCGCACAAGCGGUGGAGCAUGUGGUUAAUUCGAUGCAACGCGAAGAACCUUACCUGGGCUUGACAUCCCGAGAAUCCCCUGGAAACAGGGGAGUGCCCUUCGGGGAGCCAGGAGACAGGUGCUGCAUGGCCGUCGUCAGCUCGUGUCGUGAGAUGUUGGUUAAGUCCCGCAACGAGCGCAACCCUUGUCUUUAAUUGCCAUCAUUCAGUUGGGCACUUUAAAGAGACUGCCGGUGUUAAACCGGAGGAAGGUGGGGAUGACGUCAAGUCCUCAUGGCCUUUAUGCCCAGGGCUACACACGUGCUACAAUGGGUGGUACAAAGAGAUGCAAUCUCGCAAGAGCAAGCAAACCUCAAAAAGCCAUCCUCAGUUCGGAUUGGAGUCUGCAACUCGACUUCAUGAAGUUGGAAUCGCUAGUAAUCGCGGAUCAGCAUGCCGCGGUCGAAUACGUUCCCGGGCCUU
rnacentral:rRNA from 1 species